GAGCGAGCGACACUGCGCAUGGAAGACGGCUGCGAGGGACCUUCGGCUCGAGCUCGUGGACAAACGCACAGUAUCGCGCCCCCGGUCUCUGUGGACACGCGCUCCUUCUGCUUCCUCCCUCGCGGUAUUUACAAUUCCUUGCUUUUCUUAAAUUCCUCAAACAUAACAAGCUGGAACAUAAAAGCUAAACUCUCCGAAACGAAGAACUUAAAAUGAAAAAAAAUUAAAUGACUUUGGUUAACAGUUAAAAAACAACAACAAAAAA